rnacentral:rRNA from 1 species
GACAGGAGGUGCAAACGUUGUUCGGAAUUACUGGGCGUAAAGCGAGUGUAGGCGGUUGAUAAGUCGGAUGUGAAAGCCCGGGCUCAACCCGGGAAGUGCACUCGAUACUGUCAAGCUAGAGUAUCGGAGAGGUUGGUGGAAUUCUCGGUGUAGAGGUGAAAUUCGUAGAUAUUCGGAAGAACACCAGUGGCGAAGGCGACACACUGGCCCGUUACUGACGCUGAGGCGCGAAAAGCGUGGGAGCAACAGGG